CACACACACACCCCAUGCUGUGCCUUUGGGAGCUGGUGCUCAGCUGCUGCAGUGUGAAACCUUCACAGAGCGAGAAGCAUCUGUGCAGAGCUCAGGGCUUCCUGCUGCCACCACGCUCACCCAAUGCAGGACGGGCUGGGACAAGGCUGCAAAAAGGUGCUUCUUGUGCUGAGGAAUGGCUGCAGAAAGGACAGCUGAUGCUGGAGGAGUGGUUGCAGGAGGAGAUCCAGGCCUGGAGACCUUCACUCUGCACAGCACCAGGGGAAACAAGAGCAGCAGAAAGGUGAUGAUGACAUCUUUUUCUCGCUUGGGUGAUUCAAGUGUGAUGCAACCUCUUGGGACAGGGAAUCUCACACUCCUCCAGCCCAACCUGUGACCUGCAGAGCUGUGGCUGGCAGUUUGGCCAUUGGUCCCUCCUGGCUCCAGGGAUGGACUUGUCACUGCAGGGUUUUGCAGAUGGGAAGGCAACAAGCCCAGUUCAUGGAAAGACUCCAUUAAUAGCACAGGCAGAGCAAAUCAGGAUGCUUCCAGAUGGCAAAGGGGGAAAGGUCUCAUGGGAAGGCAUCCAUCCAGCCACACAAUCCAGAAAGCCACCUGCUGUUGCACAGUACAGAAGCCUGUGCUUCUCCUGAGCUCCCAUCCUGCCCCACAGAGCUUCAAUCAGUAAGAUUCUUGGCCCCAUCCUCUCCCUGCUCCUUCCCUGGACCAGCAUCUCCCAGCCCAAGCAGGACUGGAAGAAGAACUGGUAAAAAGUAGAGUCACUGCUUUAGAGGGUUUGCAGGGGGAAUACAGCAGAAUCAGGGAGGACUGCUUGCACGCAUCUCAUUUAGAAACAACACAACGGAGAAGAAGAAACCACAGCAGCAUUUGGAGAAACGUUUCAUUCCCGUAAUCAGCAUGGGCAGAGAACAAGAAAAUCAACUCUAAAGUGUCCUCCAGGAAACCAACGGUGGCAAAAUGCAGCAGAGCAACACUUAAUCUCAGCUGUACUGUGUCAUUUUUGUAUUCUAUUUCACAGUCUUAUUUUAUUCUUGUUAAAAGAAUAAGAAUAAUAAUAGGAUAAGGUAGGCAUGGGAAAAUAUGAGCUAGCUGGGGGUUAUUUCUGUGAACAGCUGUAGAAACAGGUUUUAACACACAAUGAAAGCAGAUGAGAUCAUAACUUUUAAUAGGAACACAUUUAAUAAACCAAAGGCGGAGAGGAGAUGAUCCAUCGCCUUUAUCGAGAAUUAUUCAUUACGAUUUAUAUCAAGGAGGAAACAGCACUUUCCUAGAAUCAGUGCAUCUUCAACGGUAGGUUAAAAAAAAACCAUGGGAUUAAUGAUUUUUUGAGCGCUCUCCUUUGAUAAAAGCCGUAACAGCCCAAGGAACAUCAGCCAUCCUGCUCCCUGUGUGCUCCCAGCCCAGCCCUGCCCUACCCUGGAGGAGCUGAGCAAGGAAGCACCAGGGCUCUGCACCGACUUGUGCCAAGAGCAGCAGCACGACUGCAGCCCAGCCUGCUGGCACAACUUCACCCCUGGAAAACACCAGGAGACGACGCUGGUCUCUGCCAGGGGUGACUCCCGAAGCUCUUGUGGCCCUGAGCCUUUGCAUUCCUAUUCAGGGAAAGAGAUUCUGGAAAGUAUGUGGGAAUGAGGUAGCGAUGAGGAGAGGCUGCCUGAAAACCUCCAGGUGGGACAGCGAGGAGAACGGAUGUGUGGGCAGUCAGAGGAAUUACCCCAGUGAUACAGUGCAUUCCUGGGACAGCAGAUGCCGGCCAGCCCUGAGCAGUGCUGGUCUGUCUCAGCACAGACCUCAGUGCUUCACUCAGCACUGUUACCUCUGGUGGUGAGAAUUCUGCUGUUAGAGGCUGCUCACUGGGCAGGACCUACAGGGCCAGCAUCUGCCAAGCAGCACGAGUGCCCCAGGCUCAUUUCUGAAGCAGCCCAGAGCAAUUUCUCCAUAAUGUUCCAUUAAUGUGACAGCUAAAGCCCUGGCCUGCUGUAAAAACAUCACUCCCAUUUACAUUAAUUGCAACCAUUUUCAUGCAAUUUGCUUCCAAAUGUGACCAACCGCAGCUUCAGUGGCUGUGAGCUGAUGAAGUCCCGUUGAAGUUCAUCUCAUUUAUCACCCAGAGUGCAGUUAUUACACUGGCUAAGGACGUGGCUCUGCACCGUUCCCUUUCAAGAUACUGACCAACACCUGGUCAGAAACAAAGACAGAGUGCUGCUCCAUUUGCUCAAAGAAGCUGUGGAUGCCAAAUCCCUGGAGGUGCCCAAGGCCAUGGAUGGAGCCCUGAGCAGCCUGUGCUGGUG